AAAAGGAAAGAGUGGUCUGCGCUCAGACGGCACCUUCUCACCGACGCCCCGAGCACCAUGGUUAGGAUCCAGAAGGCACUUUCACAGACCACACGCUGCUGGGAGAGUGUCGGCUUCACUAUCAGGUUAUUUCCACCCCUACCCGGCUAAGUGGCCUCGCGUCUUCACUUGUCAGCCUACAGUCUCCUUCAAGAAAGCAAUCAGAGAAGUCGUCUUCCAACUCGAGUCAGAUCAGUUCUCUCUUCUGCUCAAAGUGCUCGGAUGACUUACAGACUGUGAGAACCAGGCGGGCGGACAUUCUUGCUUGAUUUGUUCACUAGACACUUGCAGAACUGAGGAUAAACUCUCUCCCCAACCCUGUAAGGAUGGCUGUUAUUAUCUUAUUUUAAAGCCUCAGAAACUCCAGAUCAGACUUCUAGGCACAAAGUCAACAACUGGAGAGUGGCAGAGCUGGAAUUCAAGACCACAGUGUUUUCUCAGGGAGGAAGAGAGGAAAGAGGAGGAGGUGGGGGAAGCCCCUCCCAGACUUGACCCUCCCAGUUCCACACUCCCCACCAACAACCCCGACCAGCAUGGCCUCUGCCUUCUACCACGACAUCAGAAAAGUGUGGAAGUGACCGGGUGGAGACAUCCUCUGCCAUUGCUGCUGGUUCCUGCCAACAGCCUCUAGGAGCCCAAGCUGGAAGCCAGGCUGUGACUCUAUUUCUAGGGAAGGAAAUAAAAUAGAGACGCUAAUAAUACAUGAAAAUGUUACAGAGGUAAGCCCAGGAGUCAGAGAGCUUUGAGUCUCUCACAUGAAAGGUUCGUUAUAUAUACUUAAUGCCAAACAUGAAAAAUAACAGGUGUGAUAAGAUAGCAUCAGCUCUGCUGGAAAGGUUCCUGUUUGCCCAACACAAAGUGCCUACAGUUGACGCCGUCACACGUCUCCAUCUCCCUCUGGCAUCAAACACCGCCUGGACAGUGAGUGAGUACUGAGCGUUGAUCACUCAAAGGUGAAAAGUCAGCACAGCCUCCAGAAGGUCAUGCAUGUGCUUGUCCCUUUGUUAACUUAUUUUUGAACAUGGAAUGCAUGCCUUCUGUUUUCUAGGCCCCACACUAGGUCCUGAGGACACAGCGUUGAAUCAGACUAUUACUUUCAGGGCGUUGGCAUUCUACUAGGGAGACCCAAUCACAAUGAGAGCCAUGUGAGCUGGGCUUGAGAGAGAGACAAGCAAACAGCUGAUGGAGCCCAGCUCUGGAAGGCUUGUGGAGAAGGUAACAUUGAAAUCAGUGAGGUUCUCCUUGGAGCACAUGCGUUGGCAGGUCUUGGGAGUGUUAAAUUAGGCCCUGAGCCUACAACCUCCAAAGAGGAAAUGGGUGGCUCCUACACUUCGUGGCCUUGGAAUGGAUCCCUGAGAAGCAAGUGGCCUAGAGGUAACUGUUGUAAACUAGAGGUUAAUGAUUAACUAGAGCCAGAGUGUCUGCUCUGCUCUGUCCUAAGCUCAAGGAAUUCCUAACAACGACAAUAUCCAUUGUUUUUUUAACUAGGAGCCAAGCCCUAUGCUGUGUACUGUUCAUUUGUUAUCUAAUUUAAUUGUUGCACAUAAACAACUAUUUCCCAAAGGAAGAAACUGAGACUCACAGAAGUGAAAGGCUUUAUGCAGAAGCAUCAGAGCCGAAGGCUGUACAAGAAUCCAGGAUAUAGAUCCCAAAAUCCAGGGCAAUUUCCACAAUACAGGGCCCUUCCUCCUUCCACUUAAUGCUGACUUUGCCCGGAGACCUGCUCUUAUUCUUAGCUCUGAAAGCAACGUCCUGGAGAAGUUGGAGCAACGUCUGCUCUAUGGGGCAGAAAGGAGACCAGUAGAAUUUGGUGGUUGGAUUGACUCAGGUUCAAACGUCAGCUCUCAUUAACUCCACUUGCAACCUCAAGGAAUUUGCUUUCCUUUCCUGGAGCCUUAUUUUUCUUCUAGAAUAUGGACAUCAUUGUAUUGUUGUAAAGCUUUAAUGGAAGCAAGUCCAUGAUAUACCCUGACCUUAGCAGAAAGUCAACACAAGUGAGCAGUGCUAUUCUUCUAGAGAACUCUGUGCUAAGCGUUCCUGCCAACAUCCCAUUUUGGGAGACAAGUGAAGAUGGACAAUGACCAUAUGCCAAAGAGUUGUUAUCAUGUCCUUCUCAAGUUAAUAUUUUUGCAGCAAAUAGGGAAAUUAAGCACUACCUUCUAUUAUUCUUGAAAACAAACUUUACACUGAUUUUUACAAAAUUCUCCACACUCUUCCCAGAUAUCUUGCUAAUGGUCAUGGUAGACCUGAAGGGAAUGUGGACAACUGCCCAAUUCUGCCUCCAAAUUAAGCUGAGUUCUUUAUUUCUUGACAGUUUGUCAAUCAUCAAUGAAAACCCUCCACUGCCAAGGUGUUUGGCUCUGAGUAAUUACUGAGAGAAUGUGGUGAUUUCCGGCAUGGGAAAUAUAGCGUGAGUCCCAUUGUAAUUACUAUGGAACCCACAAGGUAUAAUUACCAAACAGGCUGCACAAAUGACAUCUGCUGGCACUGGCAGAUCAGUCUGUGUCCUUGUUGUCAAGCAGCAGCUGUCAAGCCCUUUUAUUGCAUGAACUUGGCCAUCCUAAUUGAUCUGAUUUUUUAAAUUAAACUUUGUUGAAAUGAUUGUAGAUUCGCAUGCGCUUGUAAGAAAUAAUGCAGAGAGAUCUCCAAUGUACCUGAUACCCAGUUUCUCUCGAUGGUAACGUCUUCAAAAACUGUAGUAGAAUAUCACAGCUAGGAUAUCGACAUGGCUACAGUCAAGACACAGAACAUUCCUGCCACCACAAGGAUCCCUCAUGUUGCCCUUUUAGAGCCGCAAUCAUUUUGGCCCCCACCUCCACAUAACCCCUGCCAACCACUGACCUGUUCUCUGUUUCGAUAAUUUUGUCAUUUCAAGGAUGCUAGAUAAAUGGAAUCAAACAGCAUGCAACCUUUGGGAUUGGCUUUUUCACUCAGUAUGACACUUGGAGAUUCAGCCACAUCGUUGCAUGAAUCAAGAGUUCUUUCCUUUUUAUUGCAGGGUAGUAUUCCAUGGUAUGGAUGUACCAUAGUUUGUUUAACCACUUGCCUGUUGAAGGACAACUGGAUUGCUUCCAGUUUGGAGCUGUUAUGAAUAAAGCUGCUAUAGACGUUUGUCUACAGAUUUUUGUGUGAACAUAAAUCUUCAUUUCCCUGGGAAAAAUGCCCAGGAGUGCUGGGUUACAUGGCAAAGAUAUAUUAGAUUGUUUUAAACUGCCAAAUUGUUUUGCACAGUGUCUAUACCAUUUUACAUUCCAACCAGCAAUAUAUGACUGGUCAGUUUCUCCACGUGUUCUGUGUGUAUGCCUUUUAUUCCCUU